GCAAGUCGAACGAACCAACCAUUAAUAGCAAUAUCGAUGUGCGGUAAGUGGCGAACGGGUGAGUAAUGCAUAGAUAAUCUACCUUUCAGACGGGGACAACGCAGGGAAACUUGUGCUAAUACCCGAUGAGACUACGAGCAGGGAUGUUUGUAGCCAAAGGGGGGCUUUCGGGCUCUUGCUGGAAGAUGAGUCUAUGUUCUAUCAGCUAGUUGGUGGGGUAAUGGCCUACCAAGGCGAAGACGGAUAGCCGGCCUGAGAGGGUGAAC
rnacentral:rRNA from 1 species